UUUACCAGGCCAAGAACAGAAUGAAGACCAGUCUCAUCUGAUCUCGGAAGCCAAGCAGGGCCGGGCUUGGUUACUACUUGGAUUGGAGACCUCUUUGGAUGACCAGGGGCUGUUACAC
rnacentral:rRNA from 12 species